rnacentral:lncRNA from 1 species
GAGAUCGAUCGAGCUGGAAGCAGCUUUCCCACAAAGUACAGUAGCAGGUCAAGGCAGGUAUACAGACAUGAUCGAUUUUACAUGAUGGCGCACGCUUGGGGAUUUUCUUCACCGAAACAAUCGGGGCGUGUCAUGCAGUAACUACUAGUGGCAUAGCUCCUCCCACCGCCGUAACUAUCAUACACUGGCCCACCGUAACCAUACCCAGUUUGGCAGGGACCACCCGGAUGCCCUCCGUAACAAUCCAUACAACACUCGCUCACCGUCACCGGAGGGUAAGCCGGAACCAGAAACAGAACCGGCUCUUCCUUCGGCUUCUCUGCCUUCUUGGGUUCGUCUUUAGGCCUUUCAGCCUCCUUCGGUGUCCCUUUAGGCUUGUCAGCAUCUAUUGGUUUCUUUUUAGGCUCCUCUUUCUUCUUCUCCUCUGGUUUCGCUUUAGGCUUCUCCUCCUUUGGUUUCUCUUUGGGCUUCUCGGGCUCUUUGAUGUCGAUGCUCUUGAUGGCGCCACCUCCUUUGCAGCAUAGCUUGUCUCUGAUCUUCUCAGGACUGCAGCAGACCACCUUGAUGAUCACCUGGUUGUUCUUCUCGUCGUACGUCUGGUCUCGUAUUUCUCUUGUUCACAAAAUCCAACCAAUACCAGAAACCACACUCAAUUUACGUUUUUUUGUUUUCUCUGCUAAAAUACACAACGUACCAGAAUGGAAGAGAAAAGAAGAAACUCACGAGGGAAUUUACAGAGAACUUUCUUAACCUUCUUGUAGCAUUUUUCACACUGAAGGUCCACCUUCAGAACCAUUAUCGUCACCUGAUGACAUUAAUACAAUCAUUUUUGCAGAAAUUAGAUAGGUAUAGAGAAUGGUUAAUUACUUCUUCUUCUUUUUUAUGUAGAAGAAGAAGUGAGUAAUUAAGAAUGGAUCGAAGAUGAUUUGAAGAUCGAUGAGGAAUCGAAUCGAUCUCUGUGUUUCUGACAGAAGAAUGAUGAGUCGGGUAUAGGCGACAAAUUGAAGAAGAAAGAGCCAAAAGCUUGAGAAUUAAAAAGUGAGGAGCAGCAGCCACAAAAAAUAAAAAUUGAGAGGAGCAGAUUUGAUGCAAUGGGCAAUCAAUCUACUUAUCUAUAUGAUGAGGAAAAAGAGCUGGAAAAGCAUAAACAACUUUCUAGUAGCUAAUGUUAAGAAAGAAAUACCUUUUUUUCCCCCAUUGUUGCAGCAGUGAGAUGGGAUCUGAUGUUCUUUGUGAACGGAACCUCCCAGCUAAAAUGAUUGAAUAGGACGGGAGUCAGUGACCCGAGUUGGCAUAUAAAUUGAGCAGCUGGCGGNNNNNNNNNNNNNNNNNNNNNNNNNNNNNNNNNNNNNNNNNNNNNNNNNNNNNNNNNNNNNNNNNNNNNNNNNNNNNNNNNNNNNNNNNNNNNNNNNNNNNNNNNNNNNNNNNNNNNNNNNNNNNNNNNNNNNNNNNNNCUCUCUCUCUCUCUCUCUCUCUCUCUCUCUCUGAUCUGAAACUUUUCCUCUCUCUCUUUCACCGAUGCCACCCUCCUUCGCCGAUGCCAUCCCACCCGCCGCUUCAUCUCCGGCUCCGACGAGGUCCGGGAGCUGCCGGAAAACGACUGCAAGAUCUGAACGAUCGCAUCCACCAAGACCCGAGGGGCCGGGCUCGUCAUUCUCAUCGACGACAUCCACUUCGGUCAAGUCCAGUGAGCCCGUCGUUGUCGCCGCCGUCGGUCAACAUCUGCACCGUUUCACAUUGGCGCUGCCUCGAGGAUCCGCGACCGAGAUGUUACCAUCGAGAUAGGACGACUCCGGAGAAGCGUUGCGCUACUACGAGUCCGAAGAGCAGCGUUCUGGUCGUUCUCCAACGUCGUCUGCACACCGUCGCUUGGAAACGUCGAUGCGAGCUGAGCUUGACGAGGCCGACGAAGAUGGAGUCGGGAGGGAAGGUGGAGGCGGCGCCAGGGAGAGGAGGCUUGGUGUUGGUGGAUUUGGAGCGGAGGAGCUCGGUGAGGACGGUCAGGAUGCGCUUGGAGUCCACGUGGACGGUGAAGAGGUUGGGGACGUUGGCGGGGUAGGCGCGGAUGACCUCCGGCUGAUCAAUCUCCUCGAUUGAAAUCCCUCAAAACUUAGGCAGGUGCAUGGCUUUGACUAGUUUUUCUCUCUAUUUUUAUGAGAUGAGAAUUUGAGAAAAGAGGAAGGGUGAAUAGGAAAAGGGACGGUGGAAUAUUGAACGUUGACGAUGUUUAUUAGUCCAGUUGUUUUGUUUUCUGAGUCCUUUCGAACUUAAAAAUGUAUGUUUAAAAUGAUUAUUGACUGACAGUAACUGAUUAUUGGGGGUCAGUAACUGAUUAUGUUCUAAUAUUUCUUUUUUCUAGUAUUAUUAAGCUGAAAUAAGUUGAUUAUUGGGGGUCAGUAAUUGAUUAUUAGAGGUUAGUAACACGAUUAUUAGGGGUCAGUAACUGGUUAUUGGGGUCAGUAACUGGUUACUGGGUGUCAGUAACUAACUGGUUACUGGGUGUCAGUAACUGGUUAUUAGGUGUCAGUAACUGGUUACUAGGUGUCAGUAACUGGUCAGUUAGUGGUUACUGGGUGUCAGUAACUAGUUAUUGGGGGUUAGUAACUGAUUAUUAUGAGUCAUUAACUUGUCAGUAACUGGUUAUUGGGAGUCAGUAACUAGUUACAGGGGAAAUUCCGGAGUCCGGCGAUCGAGGAAAUUCUGGUGACCGGAGUCCGGCGGUCGGGGAAAUUCCAGUGACCGGAGUCCGGCGGCCGGUGACCAGAGUCCGGUGAGAUUCCGGCCAAGUAUUCUCUCUUUUAUUUUCUCUCUCUAUGCAUAUGUAAGAGGUGAGGGCAAAAUAGUCUUAAAAUAAUAUGGUUAAUUUGUUAAGACUUUAGUAAAUAUUUGUGUAUUUUGGCAUAAAGAUUUGUGCAUUUGGACAUAAAAAAAUGCAUCUUAUAUUGAAAUGGGCUAAUGAAAAAGAUUUUCAUUGGAAUAAAAAUAAAAAUUUAAAUUAGUACUAAAUUGACAUUCUAAUGCAAUAGAAUGGUCUGAAUGUGGAGGAUGGACCAAAUUAAUACCGCAGUAAUAUGAUUAGGGUGUCAUUCACCCGGCCACAUCUUGUUGUUUUCGAUUCAAGUAUCAAGCACCCACAUGGCACAUGGAGCAUCCCACAACUGUCCCCGGCGCUAGUAGUUGCCACCGUCCAUCUUCGGACUAGCAAAUUGUUAUGGAUCAUUCUCCUUACCAUGAUCCACGACGUAUUACCAAGAAUACAUGAUAAGCCAUUGUUUCCCCCUUUCUUUUGCGUCUGUGACUAUCAGGACCGGGAGAGAUGAGGUUUAUUGGUCUAUGGUGUGGUGAGGGUACGGUACAUGGUUCGUUAUGGUGUUUCCUGCCUAUCCACCGUUGCAUAUGUGCGAUCGGCGUAUGAAUUUAGGUUAUAUAUAUAUAUAUUUUUUUUUUUCAUUUUAAAUGGUGGGCCUCGCAGCCAACAAAUGCCCGUCACACAUUAACCGUUAGCCCUGUAUGGUCUCCGCCUGGCCCAUAUAAAUAAUUUGUUUUUUAUAUUCUUUUUCUUUCUUUUUUAAAUGGUGGACCCCGCAUUUUGCGUGUAGCGAACCGCCUAGCCCCAAAUGAUCUCCGCCUAAUCCAUAUAAAUUAUUUUUCGUUUAUAUUUUUUUUCCUCUUAAAAUCUGGGAAGAAACCUUUAGCGGCCUUACUGUUGUUGUUGCACAGCCGACUUCUCCGUCUCCGCCACGUAAUUGGACUACGGCCAUGGUCAUAUGUCUAAACUUAACAUGUAUGUGUUGAAUUGAAGUUUCUGAGUCAGAAGGCUGUUAGAGUCAUCGAUUGCAGGUAUAUAUGGUAUAUUAUUGCCGUAUAUAUAUUGGUUGAUUGUUUAGUUUCCGAGUUGUUGUUAAGGAUCGGGUUAAAAAGAUUGAGCAUUAUAUUAUAGCUAUUUAUAGCUAUAAACAGCACAUUGCAUAUCCAUUGAUGAAUUUAUGUUAGUGAUGCAUGUUGGAAUGAAAACUGAUCGGUGUUGGCUAGUUUGGAAUGAAAACUGAUUUGGUGUUAGCAAGUUUCAAUUGAAUAAAGUUUGAAUUGCAUUUUGUAUAUUCUAGAUUAAGUUAUUAAUUGUCGCUUCUGCAUGUUGGUUUUAUUCUUGUUUUAGGACAUUUUAAUCAGGUUUCAUUUUUUGUAUAUGUUACUAUUGAAUUUGUUGUGCUAGGUUUCUUGGUUCUACUUGCUGAUGAUGAAGUUUAGGUCCUGGCAAAGUUGAUAAUUUUGUAAGCUUGUAGGUGUUUUGCCUUGUGUCAUGGUCCAUUACGAAGGGUGAUGAUCCUGCAAAUGCAGCCUUCUCGGAAGUAAGUUAAUCUCAUGAAAUUAUCUCAUCUUUUUAAUCCUUGUCAGAGCUCUAUACAUUUUUUGGUUUAAGCAUACCAGCUUGUGUUUCAAGUCAAAUUUAUUGUUUGAGAUUCAUAUCUUUUGUUUAGUCUCUGUUGUUUUACUUUUAUUCGUCUCUUUGUCCAAUUGUUAUAAGAUCCGAAAACGUUAUAUAAGAUACUAGAUUGAGAAUGUUCCAAGUUCUAAAACACCACAUAAUGUUUCGUUUCGUGCAAAGGGACCUGAGACUGGAAGUCAAGUACCAUAUGGCCUUGCAGGGGAGAGUAGUCUGGUUAAACGUGAUUGACCCAGAUUUCACUGAAAUUCUUAGGAAUGACUAGAAUCUAGUUAAACAUGCAGUUGCCCCGUUGCCCUCAUGGACCUUGUGAGAAUGUGAGUGAAAGCAGCUUCCAGUGUUCCAUUUGAGCCAUAAGUUGGGCCUUUCUGCAACGGUCACCUUGGAGGACCAUUAAGGAACCAAACAAGUGGAUCGGCCCAUUUAUGAUCUUAGCCCUAGUCUAAGCAAGAACAAUAAGAGAGAGACUUGCAUGUCAAACUAUUCACUUCUUUCAUACAUGUAUGCAUAGGAAGUAAGUAAUGGCAAACAGAUGGUAUUAUGUAGGUGAUUGUAAAUCGAACAUAAACAUAUGGUUCCAUUCAAACCGAAGGAAUAUAAUGUACAACUUUUAGUGGGCUAAUUAACACGCAUAUCAAAGUUGCUUCUCUAGCUAGUAAAAGAACUAAGAACAACGUACCCUUAUUAUACUACUCAACAGUCGUUCAUAAAUUAAACAAACUCCAGAUUUUGAGUAAUAGAAAAUGGAGUUGCAUUGGACUUGUCCUACUUCUUUGUCGGCAAUAGACGGUGUGUAUGAGUGCAAUCGCAGCAGCAUCGAAUAUUUUAACUAGUUUGUAGGCUUGGGGAUCGUUCUUUCAUGUGAAUCAAUCACACAUAUAGUUGACCUAAUUUCAUACUCGCCCACUUUUUAUACUUAGAUGCAUCCAUCGCAUGGAGAUCGAGUUGGAGACCUAGCUAGCUAGCUCAUCUUAAUUAUUGGUACCAAAUUCUUCCAACAAAUGGACAAAUAAUUCAAAAAAAUAUAUGCAUAUGUGCACAGGACAAAAUUCAUAUGCAAUUUGAUGGAACUUUUAUUUCAUUAAUGGAAUAAAGAUUGUAACAACUUCUUCUUCUUCUUCUUCUUGUAGCUAGCUCUAUAAUGGAUGGCUGGCAUGGCUAACCUGAUCGUGACAUAUCCACCACCAUCACCAUUGAUCACCAACCAUGCUUUAUUAUUUUACUUUUGUUCUAUAUAUAAAAAACAACACCAACUUUAACGUACACUGUAAAAAUGGAGACACCGAUCGAUCGAGCUGGAAGCAGUUUUCCCACAAAGUAUAGUAGAAGGUCAAGGCAGGUAUACAGAUAUGAUCGAUUUUACAUGAUGGCGCACGCUUGGGGAUUUUCUUCACUGAAACAAUCAGGGCGUGUCACGCAGUAACUACUAGUGGCGUAGCUCCUCCCACCGCCGUAACUAUCGUACACUGGCCUUCCAUAGUAGCCGUCGUACUGUAUGUAUGGUGCUGCCCCACCGUAACCGUACCCAGUUUGGCAGGGACCACCCGGAUGCCCUCCGUAACAUUCCAUACAACACGCGUUCACCGUCACCGGAGGGUAAGCAGUAACCGGAGGCUGAGUAGGCUGAGAAGGCUUCGGCUUCUCUGCGUCCUUGGGUUUCUCUUUAGGUUUUUCAGCCUCUUUAGGUUUCUCAGCCUCCUUUGGUUUCUCAGCCUCUUUUGGUUUCUCUUUAGGCUUUUCAGCCUCUUUAGGUUUCUCAGCCUCCUUUGGUUUCUCUUUAGGCUUCUCAGCCUCCUUUGGUUUCUCUUUAGGCUUCUCAGGCUCCUUGGGCUUGGGCUUCUCGGGCGGCAAGAUGUCGAUGCUCUUGAUGGCGCCACCUCCUUUGCAGCAUAGCUUGUCUCUGAUCUUCUCAGGACUGCAGCAGACCACCUUGAUGAUCACCUGGUUGUUCUUCUCGUCGUACGCCUGGUCUCGUAUUUCUCUUGUUCACAAAAUCCAACCAAUACCAGAAACCACACUCAAUUUACGUUUUUUUGUUUUCUCUGCUAAAAUACACAACGUACCAGAAUGGAAGAGAAAAGAAGAGACUCACGAGGGAAUUUACACAGAACUUUCUUAACCUUCUUGUAGCAUUUUUCACACUGAAGGUCCACCUUCAGAACCAUUAUCGUCACCUGAUGACAUUAAUACAAUCAUUUUUGCAGAAAUUAGAUAGGUAUAGAAUGGUUAAUUACUUCUUCUUCUUCUUCUUCUUUUUUUCUGCAGAAGAAGAAGUGAGUAAUUAAGAAUGGAUCGAAGAUGAUUUGAAGAUGGAUGAGGAAUUUUAUCCAUCAGGUUCUGUGUUUCUGACAGAAGAAUGAUGAGUCGGUUAUAGGCGACAAAUUGAAGAAGAAAGAGCCAAAAGCUUGAGAAUUAAAAAGUGAGGAGCAGCAGCCACAAAAAAUAAAAAUUGAGAGGAGCAGAUUUGAUGCAAUGGGCAAUCAAUCUACUUAUCUAUAUGAUGAGGAAAAAGAGCUGGAAAAGCAUAAACAACUUUCUAGUAGCUAAUGUUAAGAGAGAAAUACCUUUUUUUCCCCCAUUGUUGCAGCAGUGAGAUGGGAUCUGAUGUUCUUUGUGAACGGAACCUUCCCAGCUAAAAUGAUUGAAUAGGACGGGAGUCAGUGACCCGAGUUGGCAUAUAAAUUGAGCAGNNNNNNNNNNNNNNNNNNNNNNNNNNNNNNNNNNNNNNNNNNNNNNNNNNNNNNNNNNNNNNNNNNNNNNNNNNNNNNNNNNNNNNNNNNNNNNNNNNNNNNNNNNNNNNNNNNNNNNNNNNNNNNNNNNNNNNNNNNNNNNNNNNNNNNNNNNNNNNNNNNNNNNNNNNNNNNNNNNNNNNNNNNNNNNNNNNNNNNNNNNNNNNNNNNNNNNNNNNNNNNNNNNNNNNNNNNNNNNNNNNNNNNNNNNNNNNNNNNNNNNNNNNNNNNNNNNNNNNNNNNNNNNNNNNNNNNNNNNNNNNNNNNNNNNNNNNNNNNNNNNNNNNNNNNNNNNNNNUUUUUUUUUUUGGUCAAGAAAAAAAAAAGGGAACCAUUUAGCAAUGUUGACAUAUGCAUGGAGGUGAAACUUUCAAAAACCGCGGGCUCCAGAUAUUGACGAUUGCACGUUUCUUACACCCAGGGUCUUCGAUCUAUUACAUCUUCAUCAUGGAAAAUUAAAUUAUUAUGUUACGUACAUACAUGGAUAUGUGAUGUGGGAGUGGUUCUAAAAAUAACUAUUUAGUUGAAUAUUUUUUUAUUAAUAGUUUAUUACAUAUAUUUUUCAAUUAAUUUUUUAUCUCAACCGUUUAGUUUUUAAUAGAUCAUUUUUUUAAAUUUUCAACCAAAUUUUUGAUCGUUAAGGAAUCGAACUUAAUCAAAUCAAUUGACGAUCCUUAUCUAUUAAAUAUGAGUCGUUCAAGUUUAUAAUCGGUAAAUCACAUUUAUGAAUAUCUCAACGAUUUUAAAUUUAGAUAAAAAUUUAUAGAGAUGAUAUUUUCAUAUAUAUUUACAAAUUAGGCGGUCGAGAUGUGAACAUGUGAUUGAAAACGGAGUGAAACAAAGAAAUUUUCAAUUAGUCUUCAACUUAGUGGUCCUCGUUAGAACCACUCUCAUGUGAUACAAACAUACUUUAUUACGAGGCAAAAUUUUCCUAUCACACCAUCACCACCCUACUAGCACAUGUUCUUUUUUUCUUAGUUGUAUGUAUCAUAUACCUAUAACCUAUCUUCAUAGUAGAUAAUCCCCUUCAUCAUACAUACACGUGUUGUGUUUACACAGCUAUAUUCAAAAACUUAAUUUUAAGAUUAACCUCAUCGUCAUUCUAAUUUAAAAAUAAUAUUAUGAAAUAGCAUGUGAUCGACCUUUGGCUCUUUACUGAUGAUUGUAUUUGUGUGACUGUCUCCUCAAUUUGAUUCUUCGUCCCAUAAAAAUAAUAUAUAAGCGUAAUUAGUCUUUGUACGUAGUAUCAUCGAUCUUAUACGUACAUGGCCAUGCAUUUAUCCGUUGUAAUAUCACUGGUUAUUUGUUGAUGAGCAGACUAUAUGAUAGGUAGCUAUGUAGCAAAUUACUCAAUUCCGAGCACAAAAAUACAGCAAUCAAUUGUUUGUCUUGAUCGGUAGUCUCACUCAAUCACAUACGUAAGUGACCGGAUCACUCAUGCAUGACUCAGCUAGACCUAGAGCUGGAGGGUGGUGUCUUCAUAAGAAGUUGAAAUCUGUGAACACAGCCAUCGAAUAAAUUCAACAAAGUCCUCAGUAGUGGGCAUCGGACAACAACCUUACGCAACUUAGGCUCCAUCGAUCUCAUCAUAUAUGCUUUACAAAUAUUUCUUCUGCCGACAAUUUCACACAUUUUACAAGCCCAUAUGCCAGUCUUCUUAAAUAUAACCAAGAUAUGCCUUCCACUUAGCCCAAUGCAAUGGACCUAAUAUUAAGCCCACGCUAUAUAUGCACAAUCCGGGCCUCCCAUCUAUUCUGUACGGGAAUUAUGAUCGGUACGGUGAGUUUGAGACUCUGACCAGCAUCGUCGACGAUCCAAUGACUCGAUUCAUACACCAUUCAUGUACAAAAAACGAUACGAGUCUAUAACCAAUUUUUCAUCGAGUUUAUUGAGGCUACUGUGCACUUUGAACUCUGCACGACUCAUGCAUCUUCAAUCAUGUACGUGUAGCUAACUGAACCUGAAUCAAAUUCACACUCUUUAAAAUUAGUACUAAAUGAACAUACCUGUUCUCUUCAUUACAUAUCAGUGUAGCCGAUAUCAGCACACAUAGACAAAAGGGUGUUAUAGAGAAUUACAUUCAACUCCAUUCCCUUCUCCUUCAUCUCCUUGGCAAAGAGCCCUUGCUGAUCAUCUCUCGGUAAAUUUUCUUGGCCUGCCAAGGCCUCUUAGCUCUUCCCAUAGAAUCCAACAAAGUAUUAUAAAUAACCAUGUUCGGCUUAACCCAAAUUGCCUUCAUUUCCUCGUAAACUUUCAAGCACCCAUCAUAAUUCCCUGAUUGCCCGUGAAUCUUAAUCAACGUUGCAAAUGUCACUGGAUCAAUGCGCCAUUUCUCUGUCCUAGCGCAGUCAUACAAGCUAAAAGCCUUGUCAACAUUACCGGCACGGCCAUAUGCAUCGAUCAUAGCCGAAUAGGUAACAUCAUCAGGACUACACCCGUAACUAGGCAUCUUCUCAAACCACUCCACAGCCUUAUCAGGCAGAUAACACAUCCUAGCACAGCUAAUCAUAGUCGAAAACGUAACAUUAUCAGGUGUAACACCUCUCUCAAGCAUCUCAUUAAACAGCUUCUCUGCUCUCACUAAAUCCUUACACUUUCUAAACACUUUCAAUGUCACAUUGUAGAGAACCACUUCCCUCUUAGGUUUGAACAUGUGCUGAAAGUACUUUAGAGCAAGUAACGCAUUUUCGGGGUUACCAUGGUAUUAAGAACAACGACAGCAUCUUGUUCCAAAACCCCAUCACCUAAAGUCUUUAAAAUAUCAAAAACAUCACUUUCACUUAGGCAGACAGAGUUCAAGGACUCAGCUACUUUGACUAAAGAAGUGUACCUGGAAUCGUAGGACUUGUUCCUAAGAUGAGAAGCCCUGGGGCUGCUGGGAUUGACCCAAACAUAGCUUUUGGAGGAAGACUCGGAAUUUCCAUCGGGGUUUUCAGUUUUUGGGGUUUCUUGUAAAGAAACAUGGUUUAUUUGGAGAGAAAUUGUGGAGUGAAGAGUAGGGAAGGUGAGAUUGAAGGUGUGAGUAUCAGAGGUGGUUGGCCUGAGCUUUCUAGAGGAGGAGAGAGAGUGAGAGAGAAAGAGAGACGAGGGUGUGGAGGAUACAUGAUAAGCCAUUGUUUCCCUCUUUGUUUUGCGUCUGUGACUAUCAGGACCGAAGAGAGAGAUGAGGUUUAAUGGUCUCUGGUGUGGUGAGGGUACAUGGUUCGUUAUGGUGUUUCCUGCUUCUCCACCGUUGGAUAUAUGGGAUCGGCGUAUGAUUUUAGUUUAUAUUUGUUUUUUUUUUUCGUUUUAAAUGGUGGAUCUCGCAGCCCACAAAGGGCCGCCACACGUGGACCGCCUAGCCCUGUUUUGUCUCCGCCUAGCCCAUAGAAAUUAUUUUUUCUUUUGUAUUUUCUUUUUCUUUUUUUUAAAUCAUGGACCCCGUAUUCUGUUAAGGCCCGCUACACGUGGACCGCCUAGCGCCAUAUGGUCUCAGCCUAGCCCAUAUAAAUUACUUUUCUUUUAUAUUUUUUUUCCUCUAAAAAUCUGGGAUGAAACCUUUGGCGGCCUUGUUGUUGUUGUGUAGCCGACUUCUCCGUCUCCGCCGCGUAAUUGGACGGCAACCAUAGUCAUCUGUCUAAACAUAACAUGUAUGUGCCGAAUUGAGGUUUCUGAGUCGGAAGGUUGUUAGUCAUCGAUUGCAGGUAUAUAUGGUAUAUUACUGCCGUAUGUAUAUUGAUUGAUUUGUUUAGUUUCCGAGUUGAUUGUCAUGGAUUGGGUUAAAAAAGUUGAGCAUUAUAUUAUAGCUAUUUAUAGCUAUAAACAACACAUUGCAUAUCCAUUGAUGCAUAUAUGUUAGUGAUGUUUGAAUGAAAACUGAUUCGGUGUCGGCAAGUUUAUAAUGAAAACUGAUUUGGUGUUAGCAAGUUUCAGUUGAAUAAAGUUUGAAUUGCAUUUUGUAUAUUAUAGAUUAAGUUAUUAGUAGUCGCUUAUGCGUAUUGGUUUUAUUCUUGUUUUUGGUUUAAUCAGGUUUCAUUUUCUGUAUAUGUUACUAUUGAAUUUGUUGUGCUAGCAGGUUUCUUGGUUCUACUUGCUGAUGAUGAAGUUUAGGUAGCUGAUAAUUUUGUAAGCUUGUAGGUGUUUUGCCUUGUGUCAUGGUCCGCUGCGGAGGGUGGAUGAUCCAGCAAAUGCAGCCUGCUUGGAAGUAAGUUAAUCUCAUGAAAUUAUCUCAUGUUUUUAAUCUUUGUUAGAGCUCUAUACAUUUUUUUGUUUGAGCAUACCAGUUUCUGUGUCAAGUCAAGUUUACUGCUUGGGAUUCAGAUCUUCUAUUUAGUCUCUGUUGUUUUACUUUUAUUCGUCUCUUUGUCCAAUUGUUAUAAGAUAAAAAAAUAAAAAAAGGUUAUAUAAGAUGCUAGAUUGAGAAUGUCCCAAGUUCUAAAACACCACAUAAUGUUUCGUUUUGUACAAAAGGACCUGAAACACUGAAGGAAGAUGGUACGUAACUUAUUGUUCCUGGAAUCCAUAACUUUACAUCAACAACUUAUUGUUCCUGUAACAACUUAUUCUUCUUCUUGUACCUCUAUAAUGGAUGGCUGGCACCGUGGCGUAGCUAGCUAGGGGUCAAACGGUUCAAUUGAACCCUCUCAGAUUUUGAAAAAGCUUAAUUAGCUAGCCUUAAUGAACAAACAUAAAUUGACAUUUCUUCUUUGAGAAAUCCUUAAUUAAUCUUAAAUAUUCUUCAACACCAAUAGAAUGAAAUAAAAAUUUAUACUAUUAAAAUACUUAAUCUAAUUAAUACAAAUCAUGUAAAUAGUUUCUUACCUUACUAACGUGUACUUUAAUGCUUUGAAUUCCAUUUACGAUUUUUUUUUUCAUUACAAAUAAGCUAAAUGGAAGCAACACAUUAAUGUUUACUAUGCAUUGACACUAUCUCUAGAAAAAGAAAAGGCAACAUAUUUUUCUCAAUAUUUAUCGUGCAUGAAAUUUCAAAAUUUAUUUAAGAUGAUUAUCGUGCUAGCUAGAGAGUGAUUGAAAAUAAAUUUAAUUUAUUAGGUAAUAAAUUUUGACCAUUCUAAAUAACAUUUCUAGCUACGCCACAGAGGGACGGCUACCUGAUCGUGACAUAUCCACCACCAUCACCAUUGAUCACCAACCAUACUUUAUUAUUUACUUUUGUUCUAUAUAUAAAAAACAACACCAACUUUAAAAAACAACACCAACCUUAAAAAUAGAGAUCGGUCGAGCUGGAAGCAGCUUUCCCACAAAGUACAAUAGCAGGUCAAGGCAGGUAGACAGACAUGAUCGAUUUUACAUGAUGGCGCACGCUUGGGGAUUUUCUUCACUGAAACAAUCGGGGCGUGUCACGCAGUAACUACUAGUGGAGUAGCUCCUCCCACCGCCGUAACUAUCAUACACUGGCCUUCCAUAGUAGCCAUCGUACUCUAUGUAUGGUGCUGCCCCACCGUAACCGUACCCAGUUUGGCAAGGACCACCCGGAUGCCCUCCGUAACAAUCCAUACAACACGUGCUCCCCGUCACCGGAGGGUUAGCAGGAACAACCGGAGGCGGAGGCGGAGGUGGAGGCGGAGUAGGCUUCGACUUCUCUGCGUCCCGGAUUUGGCAGGGACAACCCGGAUGCCGUCCGUAACAAACAAUACAACACACGUUCACUGUCACCGGAGGGUAAGCAGGAAACGGAGGCGCAGUAAGCUUCGGAUUCUCUGGUUUCUUUUCAGGCUCUGGUUCCUUUUCAGGCUCUUGUUUCUUUUCAGGCUCUGGUGUCUUUUCAGGCUCUUGUUUCUUUUCAGGCUCUGGUGUCUUUUCAGGCUCUUGUUUCUGUUUAGGCUUUGGUGUCUUUUCAGGCUCUUGUUUCUUUUUAGGCUCUAAGAUGUCGAUUCUCUUGAUGGCGCCAUCUCCUUCGCAGCAUAGCUUGUCUCUGAUCUUCUCAGGAC